CACCUUCGGGUGAGUGGCAGACGGGUGAGUAACGCGUGGGAACCUACCUAGUAGUACGGAAUAACUCAGGGAAACUUGUGCUAAUACCGUAUACGCCCUUCGGGGGAAAGAUUUAUCGCUAUUAGAUGGGCCCGCGUUGGAUUAGCUUGUUGGUGAGGUAAUGGCUCACCAAGGCUACGAUCCAUAGCUGGUCUGAGAGGAUGAUCAGCCACACUGGGACUGAGACACGGCCCAG
rnacentral:rRNA from 1 species